rnacentral:rRNA from 1 species
UACGAAGGGGGCUAGCGUUGUUCGGAAUAACUGGGCGUAAAGCGCACGUAGGCGGAUUUGUAAGUCAGGGGUGAACUCCCGGGGCUCAACCUCGGAACUGCCUUUGAUACUGCAAGUCUAGAGUCCGGAAGAGGUGAGUGGAAUUCCUGGUGUAGAGGUGAAAUUCGUAGAUAUUAGGAAGAACACCAGUGGCGAAGGCGGCUCACUGGUCCGGAACUGACGCUGAGGUGCGAAAGCGUGGGGAGCAAACAGG